UCACCAAGGCGACGACGGGUAGCCGGCCUGAGAGGGUGACCGGCCACACUGGGACUGAGACACGGCCCAGACUCCUACGGGAGGCAGCAGUGGGGAAUAUUGCACAAUGGGCGAAAGCCUGAUGCAGCGACGCCGCGUGAGGGAUGACGGCCUUCGGGUUGUAAACCUCUUUCAGUAGGGAAGAAGCGAAAGUGACGGUACCUGCAGAAGAAGCACCGGCUAACUACGUGCCAGCAGCCGCGGUAAUACGUAGGGUGCGAGCGUUAUCCGGAAUUAUUGGGCGUAAAGAGCUCGUAGGCGGUUUGUCGCGUCUGUCGUGAAAGUCCGGGGCUUAACCCCGGAUCUGCGGUGGGUACGGGCAGACUAGAGUGCAGUAGGGGAGACUGGAAUUCCUGGUGUAGCGGUGGAAUGCGCAGAUAUCAGGAGGAACACCGAUGGCGAAGGCAGGUCUCUGGGCUGUAACUGACGCUGAGGAGCGAAAGCAUGGGGAGCGAACAGGAUUAGAUACCC
rnacentral:rRNA from 1 species